rnacentral:rRNA from 1 species
UACGGGGGGAGCAAGCGUUGUUCGGAUUUACUGGGCGUAAAGGGCGCGUAGGCGGUCAGCACAAGUCAGUUGUGAAAUCUCCGGGCUUAACUCGGAAAGGUCAACUGAUACUGUGCGACUAGAGUGCAGAAGGGGCAACUGGAAUUCUCGGUGUAGCGGUGAAAUGCGUAGAUAUCGAGGGAGACACCUGCGGCGAAGGCGGGUUGCUGGGCUGACACUGACGCUGAUGCGCGAAAGCCAGGGGAGCGAACGGG